rnacentral:rRNA from 1 species
UCAAGUUAUUAAGGGUGCAGGGCGGAUGCCUUGGCACCGGGAGCCGAUGAAGGACGUGAUAAGCUGCGAUAAGCUAUGGGGAGUUGCACGUAAACUUUGAUCCAUAGAUUUCCGAAUGAGGAAACUCACCAUGAGUAAUGUCAUGGUAUCUUCGAGUGAAUACAUAGCUCGUUGAGGGGAACUCGGGGAACUGAAACAUCUAAGUACCCGAAGGAAGAGAAAGAAAUUCGAUUCCGCUAGUAGCGGCGAGCGAACGCGGAACAGCCCAAACCUAAGAAGUUCGCUUCUUAGGGGUUGCGGACAUAUCAUCAGGAAGAGGUUAUUACAGACGAAGAGUUUUGGAAAGCUCCGCCAUAGAAGGUAACAGCCCUGUAGUCGAAGUGAGAAGACUUCCGAUAUGAUCCAGAGUACCACGGGACACGUGAAACCCCGUGGGAAGCAGGAGGGACCACCCUCCAAGGCUAAAUACUACCCGGUGACCGAUAGCGCAUAGUACCGUGAGGGAAAGGUGAAAAGAACCCCGGGAGGGGAGUGAAAUAGAACCUGAAACCCUGUACUUACAAACUGUGGAAGCACAUUUCUUGUGUGACCGCGUACUUUUUGUAGAACGGGCCAACGAGUUACGUUAUGCAGCAAGGUUAAGUACUUCAAGUAUGCAGCCGCAGCGAAAGCGAGUUUUAACUGAGCGUUUAGUUGCAUGACGUAGACCCGAAACCGGGUGACCUAUCCAUGAGCAGGUUGAAGCGAAAGUAAAAUUUCGUGGAGGACCGAACCCACGAGCGUUGAAAAGCUCGGGGAUGACUUGUGGAUAGCGGUGAAAUUCCAAUCGAACCCGGAGAUAGCUGGUUCUCCCCGAAAUAGCUUUAGGGCUAGCCUCAGAUUCAGAGAUACGGAGGUAGAGCACUGAAUGUCCUAGGGGGUAUUGCACCUACCGAAGACUAUCAAACUCCGAAUGCCGUCAUCUUUUAUCUGGGAGUCAGACCGUGGGUGAUAAGAUUCACGGUCGAGAGGGCAACAGCCCAGACCGUCGGCUAAGGUCCCCAAAUGUAGGUUAAGUGGUAAAGGAUGUGGGAUUGCACAGACAACCAGGAUGUUGGCUUAGAAGCAGCCACUCAUUCAAAGAGUGCGUAAUAGCUCACUGGUCGAGUGAUCCUGCGCCGAAGAUUUCCGGGGCUAAAACCUACUACCGAAGCCACGGCAUCAUUUAUGAUGGGUAGGGGAGCUUUCUUUACUGGGCAGAAGCAUGACCGUAAGGACAUGUGGACUGUAAAGAAGUGAGAAUGUUGGCAUGAGUAGCGAGAUGUGGGUGAGAAUCCCACAGGCCGUAAACCCAAGGUUUCCAGGGGAAGGUUCGUCCUCCCUGGGUUAGUCGGGACCUAAGCCGAGGCCGAAAGGCGUAGGUGAUGGACAACAGGUUGAAAUUCCUGUACCGCCAAUAAGCGUUUGAGAAAUGGGAUGACACAGUAGGACAGGAUGAGCGUGCUGUUGGUUAUGCACGUCCAAGCACUGAGGCAGUAUCCGGAGGCAAAUCCACGGAUAUAAUGCUGGGGUGUGACGGGGAGCGAAAUUUAGUAGCGAAGCAUCUGCAUUCACACUGUCGAGAAAAGUCUCUAUCGAGUUUAAAGGCGCCCGUACCGCAAACCGACACAGGUGGGUGAGGAGAGUAUCCUAAGGCCAGCGAGAGAACUGUUGUUAAGGAACUCGGCAAAAUGACCCCGUAACUUAGGGAUAAGGGGUGCCAUCGAAAGAUGGCCGCAGAGAAUAGGCCCAAGCGACUGUUUACCAAAAACAUAGGUUUCUGCUAAGUCGCAAGACGAUGUAUAGGAGCUGACGCCUGCCCGGUGCUGGAAGGUUAAGGGGAUCUGUUAGAGCAAUCGAAGCAGUGAACUUAAGCCCCAGUAAACGGCGGCCGUAACUAUAACGGUCCUAAGGUAGCGAAAUUCCUUGUCGGGUAAGUUCCGACCCGCACGAAAGGCGUAACGAUUUGGGCACUGUCUCAACAACAGACUCGGUGAAAUUGUAAUUCCGGUGAAGAUGCCGGAUACCUGCGACAGGACGGAAAGACCCCAUGGAGCUUUACUGUAGCUUGGCAUUGGGUCUUGGUACUACAUGUACAGCAUAGGUGGGAGGCUUUGAUUCCAGGACGCCAGUUUUGGAUGAGCCACCGUUGGGAUACCACCCCUGUAGUACUGGGACUCUAACCAGAGGCCUUGAAUCAGGUCUUGGGACACUGUCAGGCGGGCAGUUUGACUGGGGCGGUCGCCUCCCAAAAGGUAACGGAGGCGCUCAAAGGUUCUCUCAGCACGGUCGGAAAUCGUGCACAGAGUGUAAAGGCAUAAGAGAGCUUGAUUGCAAGACAUACAGGUCGAGCAAGGACGAAAGUCGGACUUAGUGAUCCGGUGGUUCUGAGUGGAAGGGCCAUCGCUCAACGGAUAAAAGCUACCCUGGGGAUAACAGGCUUAUCUCCCCCAAGAGUCCACAUCGACGGGGAGGUUUGGCACCUCGAUGUCGGCUCAUCACAUCCUGGGGCUGUAGUAGGUCCCAAGGGUUGGGCUGUUCGCCCAUUAAAGUGGUACGCGAGCUGGGUUCAGAACGUCGUGAGACAGUUCGGUCCCUAUCCGUCGCAGGCGUAGGAAAUUUGAGAGGAUCUGCCCUUAGUACGAGAGGACCGGGGUGGACGUACCGCUGGUGUACCAGUUGUCUCGCCAGAGGCAUGGCUGGGUAGCUAUGUACGGAACGGAUAAGCGCUGAAAGCAUCUAAGCGCGAAGCCAGCCUUAAGAUAAGAUUUCCCAUUCUUCGGAAGUAAGACCCCAUGAAGACUACGUGGUUGAUAGGUCGGAGGUGGAAGUGCAGUAAUGUAUGUAGCUUACCGAUACUAAUAGGUCGAGGACUUGACCAA